AAACUUAAAGGAAUUGACGGGGACCCGCACAAGCGGUGGAUGAUGUGGUUUAAUUCGACGCAACGCGAAAAACCUUACCUACCCUUGACAUGUCUGGAAUUUUGCAGAGAUGUGAAAGUGCUCGAAAGAGAACCAGAACACAGGUGCUGCAUGGCCGUCGUCAGCUCGUGUCGUGAGAUGUUGGGUUAAGUCCCGCAACGAGCGCAACCCUUGUCAUUAGUUGCUACGAAAGGGCACUCUAAUGAGACUGCCGGUGACAAACCGGAGGAAGGUGGGGAUGACGUCAGGUCAUCAUGGCCCUUAUGGGUAGGGCUACACACGUCAUACAAUGGCCGGUACAGAGGGCUGCCAACCCGCGAGGGGAGCCAAUCCCAGAAAACCGGUCGUAGUCCGGAUCGCAGUCUGCAACUCGACUGCGUGAAGUCGGAAUCGCUAGUAAUCGCGGAUCAGCUUGCCGCGGUGAAUACGUUCCCGGGUCUUGUACACACCGCCCGUCACACCAUGGGAGCGGGUUCUGCCAGAAGUAGUUAGCCUAACCGCAAGGAGGGCGAUUACCACGGCAGGGUUCGUGACUGGGGUGAAGUCGUAACAAGGUAGCCGUAUCGGAAGGUGCGGCUGGAUCACCUCCUUUCUG
rnacentral:rRNA from 1 species